rnacentral:misc_RNA from 1 species
AACGCACAUUGCGCCCUUUGGUAUUCCGAAGGGCAUGCCUGUACGAGCGUCAUUAUCACCUCUCAAGCCCUGGCUUGUUGUUGGACUUGGUCGGUCGUGAGACCUAGAUCUGUCCCAAAGACAAUGACGGUGUCCCUUGGACCCUCGGUACAAUGAGCUUUAACCAGCACGUAUCAGAGUGGAAAGGUCCUCGGGCCCGGUCCCCCUUUUUAUUUUUUAAGGUUGACCUCGGAUCAGGUAGGAAUACCCGCUGAACUUAA